GCCUCUAUGGUUUAGUGGUAUAAUACAUCACUAGUAAUGAUGGGGUCCGUCGUUCGAUUCGGCGUGGAGGCA
rfam:Taphrina deformans PYCC 5710 genomic scaffold, scaffold00097